rnacentral:ncRNA from 1 species
UGGUAGCUAUCAAAAGGCUAGUCUAGCUAAUGCUAGGCAAUAUCACUAAACUGUUCGGGAAGACCUUAGUUAAGGCUAUAGCUACCGCGUACGGUCAGGAAACUGAUCGUAGCAGCACCAAGUUAAUGACUUCGGGGAUGGUAAUAACGCUAUAGCUGGUUUACCCGCAGCCAUGCUUCCCUGAUCUAUCGAGAAGCUGGUUCAGAGACUAAACAGUGAUAGGCUUGUUAUAGCAAGUCUAAGAUAUAGUCCGAUCCUAUCAAUAAUGAUAGU